rnacentral:misc_RNA from 1 species
GAUGAAGAACGUAGCGAAAUGCGAUACGUAAUGUGAAUUGCAGAAUUCAGUGAAUCAUCGAAUCUUUGAACGCAUAUUGCGCUCUUUGGUAUUCCGAAGAGCAUGCUUGUUUGAGUAUCAGUAAACACCUCAACCUCUUCUUGAUUUUUCAAAAGGAGGGUGGACUUGAGCUAUCCCAACAACCUUUACCGGUCGGCGGGCGGCUUGAAAUGCAGGUGCAGCUGGACGUUUAUCUGAGCUAAAAGCAUAUCUAUUUAGUCCUCGUCAAACAGGAUUAUUACUUUUGCUGCAGCUAACAUAAAGGAUAAUUGUCCUCUUUGCUGACUGAUGCAGGAUUUUACGACACUUUAUGUGUUGUUCAACUCGAUCUCAAAUCAAGUAAGACUACCCGCUGAACUUAAGCAUAUCAAUAAGCGGAGGA